rnacentral:rRNA from 1 species
UGCAAGUCGAACGAGAAUCUACUGAAGGAGGAUUCGUCCAACGGAAGUAGAGGAAAGUGGCGGACGGGUGAGUAACGCGUGAGGAACCUGCCUUGAAGAGGGGGACAACAGUUGGAAACGACUGCUAAUACCGCAUGAAGCAUAGGGGUCGCAUGAUUCUUAUGCCAAAGAUUUAUCGCUUCAAGAUGGCCUCGCGUCUGAUUAGCUAGUUGGCGGGGUAACGGCCCACCAAGGCGACGAUCAGUAGCCGGACUGAGAGGUUGAACGGCCACAUUGGGACUGAGAUACGGCCCAGACUCCUACGGGAGGCAGCAGUGGGGAAUAUUGGGCAAUGGGCGCAAGCCUGACCCAGCAACGCCGCGUGAAGGAAGAAGGCUUUCGGGUUGUAAACUUCUUUUAAGAGGGAAGAGCAGAAGACGGUACCUCUAGAAUAAGCCACGGCUAACUACGUGCCAGCAGCCGCGGUAAU